UUCCUUUAUUGUUCCUGUUGUUGAUUGGCUAAAACUCCAUGACCAUGUUGACCAGUCUUCUGCUUCUCAGUGCUGCCUUUGCUCUGGGAGAUGCACAUUCACUUGUAUAAGAAGACUUGUGUCCUUCCUGUUGGACCAAAUAUGGAUCACGCUGUUUAAUGUUUGUAAAGACUAUGCGGAGCUGGCCUGAAGCAGAGUUAUCAUCCUUACAUCUACUGUGAAUUUGAAGGGGAAGUGUAGUUGUAAUUAGCUCUUUGACAUUACCUUAAAGGUGAUACUUUCUUAAAUGGCAACACAUGACUGAUGUGAAAUACUAAACUUCCCUUUAAGAUGGGAAUUUUCUCAACAUAUUGAAUUUGUUGUGCUUCCUGUAUACUGGAACCCACAGGACAUAGCUUAAGACUGAGAAACGAGUAUCUUUAAGAUAAUGUUUUAAAAAGGAAUUAGUUGUGACGGUCAAUUUGGGUGAGAGUCCAGAAGACACAUUCUCAGCAAGGCUGACUGACUAAUACAUGAAAUGUCUUUGUUCCCAUCUACUGCUUGGCUGUCAUUGUAGAUAAGAAAAUCAUUAACUGACUU